AGCCUACGGGACGCAGCAGUGAGGAAUAUUGGUCAAUGGGCGAGAGCCUGAACCAGCCAAGUCGCGUGAAGGAUGACGGCCCUACGGGUUGUAAACUUCUUUUGUCAGGGAGCAAUUGAGUCCACGUGUGGGCUUAGCGAGAGAACCUGAAGAAAAAGCAUCGGCUAACUCCGUGCCAGCAGCCGCGGUAAUACGGAGGAUGCGAGCGUUAUCCGGAUUUAUUGGGUUUAAUGGGUGCGUAGGCGGACUAUAAAGUCAGCGGUAAAAAUUCGGGGCUCAACCCCGUCGUGCCGUUGAAACUGAAG
rnacentral:rRNA from 1 species